rnacentral:rRNA from 1 species
GAUGAACGCUGGCGGCGUGCCUAACACAUGCAAGUCGAGCGAUUCUCUUCGGAGAAGAGCGGCGGACGGGUGAGUAGCGCGUGGGUAACCUGCCCUGUACACACGGAUAACAUACCGAAAGGUAUGCUAAUACGGGAUAAUGUGCUUUUAUCGCAUGGUAAAAGUAUCAAAGCUCCGGCGGUACAGGAUGGACCCGCGUCUGAUUAGCUAGUUGGUAAGGUAACGGCUUACCAAGGCGACGAUCAGUAGCCGACCUGAGAGGGUGAUCGGCCACAUUGGAACUGAGACACGGUCCAAACUCCUACGGGAGGCAGCAGUGGGGAAUAUUGCACAAUGGGCGAAAGCCUGAUGCAGCAACGCCGCGUGAGCGAUGAAGGCCUUCGGGUCGUAAAGCUCUGUCCUCAAGGAAGAUAAUGACGGUACUUGAGGAGGAAGCCCCGGCUAACUACGUGCCAGCCGCCGCGGUAAGAC